GAAUAGGUGUAAAUCAUUAUUAUUAUAAUAGUUUUAGCAGCAAUUUCAUUAAAAUUUUAACAUAAUUUAUCAAUUAAUUUAUAACAAUUUUAAACUGUUUCAAAACUGUUGCCUAAACUAUUGUCUUAUAUGUGUAAAGGCAACAGUUUUUUAGUUACUACAAAAAAAAAAAUUGCAGCCUUACUUCAAAUUACACACAUGCUAGCAACCCGUU
rnacentral:misc_RNA from 1 species